rfam:Ictidomys tridecemlineatus contig053817, whole genome shotgun sequence.
AGGGUUGUGGCUUAGUGGUAGAGCACUCGCCUCACACAUGAGAGAUCUUGGGUUCGAUCCUCAGCACCACAU